CUAGAAACUUCGAAUAGCUUCUCGGAAUCAAGAGAUUUUCAGCUCGCACUUCAAUGCAAACAUUUUGACCAAAUGAUCCGGGUCACGUACUUUUAAAAUCAUUGUGUUGAAGUGUUUGACGUACUCACAAAGGAACUCUCCAUCCUAUUGCUUGAUGACAAACAAAUACUCUAUUCCUUUCCACUGUCAGCAACUACUAACAAAAUGUGCCGUGAAUAGUUGGCCGAAUUGUUCAAAUGAAUGAAUUGAGUUCGGUUGCAGCAUAGUAUACCACAACCAAGCUGUCUUUAUGAGAGUAGCUAGGAAACUUGGCAAAACACUGUAUCGGUGGCUUCUUGGAGCAUCAUGAGGGCUUUGAAGCUUUCCAAAUGAUCCAAGAGAUCGGUAGUCCCAUUGUAGACAUUCAGCUAAGGUAUCUUGAACCAAUGAGGAAGAGGUUCCUCCAUGAUCUUAGCCAAAAACAAAGGGUUAGUUGUGAAAUCAACUUUGUCCUUGAGCUCGACAUUGUAGCCUCUUAAGGUCUUGAGACGUUGAUCCAUCUCCUCGAACCAACGGUCAAGAUCAACUCCCUCCUCAGGAUUCUCUCAGAACGAUGGUUAAUCCUCCGAUGCUUAAAUUAGAUAUAACUCUCAAGGAACAGAAGGAAGCUUGGGAGGAGCAUAGAGGCAAUACAAGAAAGUCGACAGAGAACUUACUUGAAGAGUCCCAAGAAAUAUAAUACAUAGGUGAGGAUUGAAACCCAUCGUCGAGUAAGUUGAGGGAGAUCCACUGGUUGAUAAGGCAACAAACCACGUAUAUUGCUCAUAAAUCUCAUCCGCAUUUUUCGGUAGCAAGAUUUGCCCGAGUAUCACAUUUGUUAAGAAACAGCUAGUGAUACAGCCAAGUUCUUUUAUUUAUGGAGAGGGUUUG
rnacentral:lncRNA from 1 species